AACGAACGCUGGCGGCAGGCCUAACACAUGCAAGUCGAACGCCGUAGCAAUACGGAGUGGCAGACGGGUGAGUAACGCGUGGGAACCUUCCCUAUGGUUCGGAAUAGCUCAGGGAAACCUGGGGUAAUACCGGAUAAGCCCUUCGGGGGAAAGAUUUAUCGCCAUUGGAUGGGCCCGCGUCGGAUUAGCUAGUUGGUGAGGUAACGGCUCACCAAGGAGACGAUCCGUAGCUGGUCUGAGAGGAUGAUCAGCCACACUGGGACUGAGACACGGCCCAGACUCCUACGGGAGGCAGCAGUGGGGAAUAUUGGACAAUGGGCGAAAGCCUGAUCCAGCCAUGCCGCGUGAGUGACGAAGGCCUUAGGGUUGUAAAGCUCUUUUGGCGGGGAAGAUAAUGACGGUACCCGCAGAAUAAGCUCCGGCUAGCUUCGUGCCAGCCGCCGCCGUAAGAC
rnacentral:rRNA from 1 species